GAUGAACGCUGGCUACAGGCUUAACACAUGCAAGUCGAGGGGAAACGACGGGGAAGCUUGCUUCCCCGGGCGUCGACCGGCGCACGGGUGAGUAACGCGUAUCCAACCUGCCUCUGACUGAGGGAUAACCCGUCGAAAGUCGGCCUAAUACCUCAUGGCAUCCUCUUCGGGCAUCCAACGACGAUUAAAGAUUUCAUCGGUCAGGGAUGGGCAUGCGUCUGAUUAGCUAGUUGGCGGGGUAACGGCCCACCAAGGCGACGAUCAGUAGGGGUUCUGAGAGGAAGCUCCCGCAGAGUGGAGCGGUGCCACGAUCCAAGCUCCUACGGGAGGCAGCAGUGAGGAAUAUUAGUCAAUGGGCGAGAACCGGAACCAGCCAAGUAGAGUGCAGAAUGACGGCGCUGUGGGUUGUAUACUGCUUUUAUGCGGGGAUAAAGUGAGGGACGUGGCCUUCAUUGAAGGUACCGAAUGAAUAAGGGCCGGCUAAUUCCGUG
rnacentral:rRNA from 1 species